AUUGAACGCUGGCGGCAGGCCUAACACAUGCAAGUCGAACGGUAGCACAGAGAGCUUGCUCUCGGGUGACGAGUGGCGGACGGGUGAGUAAUGUCUGGGAAACUGCCUGAUGGAGGGGGAUAACUACUGGAAACGGUAGCUAAUACCGCAUAAUGUCGCAAGACCAAAGAGGGGGACCUUCGGGCCUCUUGCCAUGGGAUGGGCCCAGAUGGGAUUAGCUAGUAGGUGGGGUAAUGGCUCACCUAGGCGACGAUCCCUAGCUGGUCUGAGAGGAUGACCAGCCACACUGGAACUGAGACACGGUCCAGACUCCUACGGGAGGCAGCAGUGGGGAAUAUUGCACAAUGGGCGCAAGCCUGAUGCAGCCAUGCCGCGUGUAUGAAGAAGGCCUUCGGGUUGUAAAGUACUUUCAGCGAGGAGGAAGGCAUUGUGGUUAAUAACCGCAGUGAUUGACGUUACUCGCAGAAGAAGCACCGGCUAACUCCGUGCCAGCCGCCGCGGUAA
rnacentral:rRNA from 1 species